rnacentral:misc_RNA from 1 species
GUAUAGUUUAUUGGCUCAAAAGCCAUACUACAAUCCAUAAUAAAUCAUGUGUAAUAAAAACAUAGACAGGGACGUCAAUCCCAUUGUCUACGAAAGGUGCACAGGUGGAUGUAAAGGUUGAGAGUGCACAUUGCCCUUUGAAAGGCCAGCACAUCUCAUUUGAAAUCAAUAAUGAUCCUUCCGCAGGUUCACCUACGGAAA